GGAGGUGUGGUUCAAGCGAUAGAGUACCUGCCUAGCAAGCAUGAAACCCUGAGUUCUAACUCAGUAUCUCCA
rnacentral:tRNA from 1 species